rnacentral:rRNA from 1 species
CCCUUAGAUGUUCUGGGCCGCACGCGCGCUACAAUGAUGAAUUCAACGAGUUUAUAACCUUGGUUGAAAAGCCUGGGUAAUCUUUUGAACUUUCGUCGUGAUGGGGCUAGACCCUUGCAAUUAUUGGUCUCCAACGAGGAAUUCCUAGUAAACGCAAGUCAUCAGCUUGCAUUGAUUACGUCCCUGCCCUUUGUACACACCGCCCGUCGCACCUACCGAUUGGAUGGUCCGGUGAAGCCUCGGGAUUGUGGUUCUUGCCGCUUUAUUGUGGCGUGACCGCGAGAACUUGUCUAAACCUUAUCAUCUAGAGGAAGGUGAAGUCGUAACA